CUUUUUUCCACAGAUUUUCUACAACGUAUUCCUUUGUGCGUGAAUGAUACAAAAGAUUUAAGCAAGAAAAAUAAAGUUUGUCUUCUCCAUUUUAUCUCCAACACCUCGAAGGUGUCGUUUGAAAGGGUUUAUUUAACUGCAAGAAAUUUCAAGCUCCAAGAAACUUUAGACUCACAAUAAUUACACCACUCCUGAUCAAUUACCUACAACACAAAUGUGAUAAUUAUUUUAUCAUCUGGAAUUAGACUAUGAUUGAACUAUUGAUGUUGAAGAUUUCUACCAAUGAAAGAUAUGUAUUGCUCCUCUCCAAGUUACUUAACCUCUUUUUGUACCAUCUUAAUUUACUUGUAUAUGUAUUUCUUAAAAUACCACUGAAGUUCAUGUUGAUUCUUUGUCCAAAUUGACUUCUCUAGCUUUUUUUUUCCUAUGUGCAUAUUUAAUUUAUAAUAUUGAAAGCUUCACAGGUGAUCUGAGUAAAAAAAAAUUAUGUUUACACCAUUGCUAUCAUUUAUAUUUAUUGAUGAUGACAGUGACAUUGUAACUCUCUUCAUUUGCUUUUGUUUUCGAGGUUCUGAGAUGGUGAACGAGGAAACAAAAAGAAAAUAAGUACUUUAUGAACAUGAUCUGUACACUAGACAUAGUCCUAUAAUCAUUUAUCUUAGUUGAAACAUAUGUAUUAUGUAUUUAUAUCAACCAUGUUCUAACAGAGGAUGGUUGCGGUUAAGACUUGAGAGAUUGAAUUGAUAAU